ensembl:lncRNA
AAGAGGUUUUAAGCCAAGGCAGAGCAGUCAGAGGGGCUGAGGCACAGGCCGUGGCCAUGACAUUGAGGUUUCCCUAUAGGGCUCUGUGGGGCUGUUGGCCGUAUGGGCUGAGGGAUCUGUGCUGAUAAAGCAAAUGGAGGAAGGAGGAAAAGUAUUUGCAACCUAACUUAGAAAACCUGCAAACCUGCCAGCCAAGAAGUAGUGCCAUGCUUCUGUCAGCUGUGCUGAACAGUGGAGACAGGGGACCCAUGUGGGAAAGCCACAGAGCAGGCAGCCAUGUCUGCACCUCACUGCCCUCCGUGCCUGUUCAAGGCAGAGGUGGCGGCACUUCCUGAGGUGCUUUUUGACACGGGUUUUAAUAAUUCAUUUCAUGUUAGCUUCCUGCUAUCAUGAGGGGGAGGAGGAACUGUUGGAGGGCUGUGUUAGAGUGGCUCAUCGGUACGGAAAUCACAUACUCCCAGUCAUAUGUUGCAGAAGUGAGCCUGUGCAGAGGUGGGAGCGCUGUGACUCAGCGCAGGCAGCAGCGGUGGCAGAGGAGGGGACCUGCCAUGGCCUCCAUCCCCCACCACCACCUUCCACUCGGUCACCUCACCUGCUGCCCUCUCUCCUGCCUCCCUCUUUGAGGUCCAGGUGGAGUGCCUGCCAUUUUUAUCAGGGGACUGGCACUGAGAUAUCUCUAGCCACAGGGCUGUGGGGUCUCAGACAAGGGUUGGUGGGCAGGGUAGUGCGAUUUGUACCCCCAUGCAUUUAACUGCAAUGGCAAUACAGUAAUUUAAGAAGGACUUCUUUUUCUGCUGCCCUUCACACUAUGAGGUAAAAUGAAGCAUGCAUGUGUGCCCAAUACCUGCUUAAGGUGAGGAUUAGUAAUACAUUUCAUUAUUAAUAAUAAAUAAUUAUAUCCAAAAUUAGGUAGGCUUGUGUCUGUCUUAAGUAAAACACCAUUAGGCUUGUACUAGGUCAAUGGGUAGCUGCAUAAAAUUAUUUUAGUGCCCUAGUCUUUCUCCUUUCUCUGAAACCAUUGCCCAAAGAUAGUUUCUGAAGCAAGAAAUGACUGUGUCUGAGUUGUUCAGUUAUGAUAUGGUCCUACAUGGUGGGGCUGAAAACAGUUUAAGUUGAAAUGGAUUUUAAUGUUUGUAAUGCAAUUUCAUUACACUAUGCCUCAAAACUCCUUUGAGGUGGGCAAGUUACCCACAUCUGUUGAGUGGUGAGGCACUGGCAAAGGUUACCCAAAUAAUUUGUGGAUGCCACAUCCCUGGAGGCGUUCAAGGUCAGGUUCUGGGGUUCUGGGCAGCCUUAUCUAGUGAGAGGCAACACUGUCUGUGGUAGGGGAGCUGGAAUUAGAUGAUCUUUAAGGUCUCUUCCAAUCUAAGCCAUUCUAUGAUCUAGAUGUUGAAACAUGCAAGAUUAAUGUUGUGUCUUACAUGUAUAAAAAAAAAUAUGGAUUUGUGGUAUAAAGUACUUUUAUUUUUUUAUUUUUUUGCCUGAAGAGUUUGUCUUCUGCAUGUGAAUCUUGUCUCAAAAAUGGUUUCUGCAGUAGCAGGCCAUCAGUUCAGAAGUGUAAGGCAGCUAAACACAGAAACAAGCUAAAGAAAAUUUGAAACAUUCCUGGCCAGAAAGAAAAGGAUUUCACCCAAAUGAAGAAAGCUACAUUUGAAAAAUUGUUCUAAAAGGCUGCUCAGAGGGGAGCCACUUAAAGACUUCUAGCUGUAGGGAUACUAACCUGACUGCAGGGAUAACUGGAUGGGAUUACAUCAGCUGCCUUGGUUAGGAGACAACAUUAACCUUGGCUUUUAAAGAUUUUGUGAUUCCUGGUAAGUAUGGUUUGUGGGGUGAAGUUUGUCUAAGUUGUAGCAGGCAACCGAGUUCCUAACUCUGUUUCAGAGUUGUUUCUCAGUCUGCAGUGCAGCCAAUGGCUAUUAGCAGAUAGUACACUGCCUCUAAUUAAUUUAUUUGGAUUCUUCCAUUCUCUCACAAAGAUGAUUGAAGGAUGAUGGACUGGGGUAGAAAUCAGGAAAUAGCCUUUAUUAACUGAAGAGGCUGUGGUUUGGAUGCUGUUAAGACAUGGCUUGCAAUUAAGUAGAUCAAACUUUCAACUAACACUAAGGAAUUGGGAUCUAGCAUUUCAGUGUCUUAAAAAUACCUCUAAGGAGUCCUAUAGUUACAGGGAAAGAAGUUGCAUAUAUGUUGAGGUUUGGCAUUUAUACCACAAGGUAGCUUGGUGAAAUUUCAGUCGUCAGCAGUGCUUGAUUAGGUUGGUUGUCUUUUGUAUCGAAUCAGCAUGUGUGAAAACUCCUUUGUAAUGAAAGAAUGUCUCUGACUGCGUUUCCUGAAAAUCACUAUUUGGCAAAGAUGUGGAGUGAACUUAAAUAUAUGAGGAAAAGGUCCUCUUGAAGAGGAGCAUUGCAGCAAUACAGCUAUGAAAUGUUGGAGGCAGGGCAUGAUUAGGAUUCAGUGAAGCCAGAAACAGCUGAUUUGUGAGACUACGCUUUCUCUGAAAGAAGCCAAAGAUGAAAUUGUUAAUACUUAAGUUUCUGGAAAUGAUUAAAGAAUCAAUUCUUAGUUGUGUGCCCAGUUUGAGAAAGAAGUUGUACAUGAAGUCUGUUGCUAAAGAAAAGUGGUUUCAAGAAAUCUAUUUUCAGGAACAUCUAAAACAUCUUUGAUCAGAAAAAUCACUUUGUAAUUCUUGACCCUGCUGCUAUAUUUAGACUGACUAAAAAGGCUGACUUCUUAGAAUGUACUAGGCAAAGCCAUCUAUAAAGUAGAUGGGAAUUUGCUGUUGGUAUCUUUUAUGAUUCUUAAUGUGACUAUUGCUGCCUUUGAAUUAUAUGGGAAUUUCAGCUUUUUAUUUAAGACAAAUUCUUAGCUUUUG